UCGGGGCGUAGCGCAGCCUGGUAGCGCAUUUGGUUUGGGACCAAAGGGUCGGGAGUUCAAAUCUCUCCGCCCCGAG
rnacentral:tRNA from 3 species